rnacentral:rRNA from 1 species
UACGUAGGGUGCAAGCGUUGUCCGGAAUUAUUGGGCGUAAAGAGCUCGUAGGCGGUCUGUCGCGUCGGCUGUGAAAACCUGGGGUUCAACCCCAGGCCUGCAGUCGAUACGGGCAGACUAGAGUCCGGCAGGGGAGACUGGAAUUCCUGGUGUAGCGGUGAAAUGCGCAGAUAUCAGGAGGAACACCGGUGGCGAAGGCGGGUCUCUGGGCCGGAACUGACGCUGAGGAGCGAAAGCGUGGGGAGCGAACAGG